rnacentral:snRNA from 1 species
GUGCUUGCUUCGGCAGCACAUAUACUAAAAUUGGAAUGAUACAGAGAAGAUUAGCAUGGCCCCUGCACGAGGAUGACACACAAAUUCGUGAAGCGGUCCAUAUUUUU